UGGAACAUUCACAGUCUGAAGGUAGAACUCUGGUCAGUAGAUGAAGGUGCUGCAGAUACAGAACCAGCUGGUUCUGAGGGGGUCCGGUUGGAGGCUCUGGAGGGUUUUUUGCUUGGUGGUUUUUGUUUUCUGGGUUGGUGGCAGCGGGUCGAAGCCGGUUCAGCUCUGGAUGUUCAGUUUGUGGCCCGUCUCCACGCGGGGAGGCUUCAUUUAUACUCGACAGCACUUUUGUUUUGUAUAUUUAUCUGGUGACAAUAAAGUCGUGCCCUCUGACGCCUGUCCUGUGCUGCUUCCUGUGUCCAGUUGUGUGUCUGCAGCUUCAGCACCGAGACUGUACCGGCGCUGACAAGUUAAAGAACAUUAGUUUACACGUUCUUCCUGUGAUGUGAAGUGAGGGCAGAACAGUGGGAACGAGUUUCAGUUCUACUCACAGAAGAUCAGCGUUCAUUACAUGUGAACCCAGAGGAAAGCUAAACACCACGUCCACACCAGAAUCGCUGUACGACGUGUAAAAUGAUUGUUUUACUGAAUCUAAACAGAUUCAGCUUCACGUUCUUCCAGUGUUUCUACGUUUCCUUCUGUUUUUCCAGCGUCCUGUCAUUUCAUGUGUUCAUUAGAUCACAGCCUACAAUCUGUUGUUUUCACAUUUUAUGGUUGUUUUCAUGUUUUUUUCAUUUUAAAGGUCCGACCUCGUCUUUGAUUCGUU